rnacentral:rRNA from 1 species
AUUGAACGCUGGCGGCAGGCUUAACACAUUCAAGUCGAGCGGGGGAGGUUGCUUCGGUAACUGACCUAGCGGCGGACGGGUGAGUAAUGCUUAGGAAUCUGCCUAUUAGUGGGGGACAACGUUCCGAAAGGAAUGCUAAUACCGCAUACGCCCUACGGGGGAAAGCAGGGGAUCUUCGGACCUUGCGCUAAUAGAUGAGCAUAAGUCGGAUUAGCUAGUUGGUGGGGUAAAGGCCUACCAAGGCGACGAUCUGUAGCGGGUCUGAGAGGAUGAUCCGCCACACUGGGACUGAGACACGGCCCAGACUCCUACGGGAGGCAGCAGUGGGGAAUAUUGGACAAUGGGCGGAAGCCUGAUCCAGCCAUGCCGCGUGUGUGAAGAAGGCCUUUUGGUUGUAAAGCACUUUAAGCGAGGAGGAGGCUCUUAAGGUUAAUACCCUUGAUGAGUGGACGUUACUCGCAGAAUAAGCACCGGCUAACUCUGUGCCAGCAGCCGCCGUAAUAC